UGCGUAACACGUAUCCAACCUGCCGUCUACUCUUGGACAGCCUUCUGAAAGGAAGAUUAAUACAAGAUGGCAUCAUGAGUCCGCAUGUUCACAUGAUUAAAGGUAUUCCGGUAGACGAUGGGGAUGCGUUCCAUUAGAUAGUAGGCGGGGUAACGGCCCACCUAGUCUUCGAUGGAUAGGGGUUCUGAGAGGAAGGUCCCCCACAUUGGAACUGAGACACGGUCCAA
rnacentral:rRNA from 1 species